GUUGAUUACGUCCCUGCCCUUUGUACACACCGCCCGUCGCUACUACCGAUUGAAUGGCUCAGUGAGGCGUCCGGACUGGCCCAGAGAGGUGGGCAACUACCACUCAGGGCCGGAAAGCUCUCCAAACUCGGUCAUUUAGAGGAAGUAAAAGUCGUAACAAGG
rnacentral:rRNA from 1 species